rnacentral:rRNA from 1 species
UACGUAGGGUGCGAGCGUUGUCCGGAAUUACUGGGCGUAAAGAGCUCGUAGGUGGUUUGUCGCGUUGUUCGUGAAAACCGGGGGCUUAACCCUCGGCGUGCGGGCGAUACGGGCAGACUUGAGUACUGCAGGGGAGACUGGAAUUCCUGGUGUAGCGGUGGAAUGCGCAGAUAUCAGGAAGAACACCAAUGGCGAAGGCAGCUCUCUGGGACGGUACUGACGCUGAGACGCGAAAGCGUGGGGAGCGAACAGG